UACGUAGGGUGCGAGCGUUGUCCGGAAUUAUUGGGCGUAAAGAGCUCGUAGGCGGUGUGUCACGUCGUUCGUGAAAACCUGCAGCUUAACUGUGGGCGUGCGGUCGAUACGGGCAUCACUGGAGUUCGGCAGGGGAGACUGGAAUUCCAGGUGUAGCGGUGAAAUGCGUAGAUAUCUGGAGGAACACCGGUGGCGAAGGCGGCAUCCUGGACCAAUAUUGACGCUGAGGAGCGAAAGCCAGGGGAGCAAACGGG
rnacentral:rRNA from 1 species